CUGGAAUAUAAACUGUACUGGAAUUCACCCCAGGGCGUUAAAAGUUGGAAGGACAGCGAGAACCUUGCUUGCAGCCCCAAAUGUUCAAAAUAAGUAACAGCCGAGCUACGAGGUUUUCUGGCUCCAGCUGUGAACCACUGUGCUCGGUACACCCUCCGGGCUCUCUGCAUGGUACGUAUAGCCAGGGGUUGAGGGCUUCUGCUGGCUUCUGCUCUAUUUCUCUGACCAAUCAUAGCAAAAUGCCCUCACUGCAGAGGCUUAACUCACUGCUCUAACUUGCUGGGCAGAGGGGCAAGAUGCCUCCUCCUCUGAGCCUUGGAUCAUUCACAGAAUUGAAAGGUUGGGCUGUGGUGGCCACGGAUGCAGCGCUGUAACAAAGCCGCUUGUAUGGGAGGUGAAGCUGUAGCUGCUUGGGUUAAAGACAGAGGUGGGCCUGAGUCCAGGGAUCCUGGGGGGUGUGGAAGAGGGGGAUGCCCCUCUGGACUCGACAGUCCCCACUCUGUCCCCCAAAAUCCCCCUGGCUGGAGGCAGAGGGCCAGGGCAGGAGUAACCUCAUAGCUUGCCAGAGCCACUUCCCGGCUCGGCUGGGGGGCAUCUGGUGGGCAAACCUGGGUGGUGACAGCCCACAGGGUGGUGACAGCCCACAGGGUGGUGACAGCUGUAUUGCAUGCAGGACCACGACCUGUGACGCAGAAGCCUGGGACCAAGAGGCUGCCGCACACUGGGGACGUGAAGCAGCAGUGGAAAGAGAGGCGCAACCUCUGAGAAUGAAAGAAGGGAGACAGAAGCUUUUGACAACCCCAACACCAAGUUCCAUCCUCCCAGUAGGCCCUGUGCAGGGUAAGCUGGCUUAAAAAAUCAUUUUCUUGCCAUACAGAAUUUGUACAUGUCGAUGGAAGAUAGUGUGAUGUUUCAGUAGAUAUAUAUACUGUGUAAUCGUCAAAGCAGACUAAUUACCACGUCCAUCACCUUGAACAAGCACCAUUUCAACAUCUGAAAUCCCCUAUCUGCUCUUUCAAACACACAGAGCAUCACUGUCAGAUCUCUCUGCUGCUGCGGGCUCUCGGUCCCUGGCUCGCAACCUCACCCCUCUGCGGUCACUCAGGUGAACGAGCCGGGCCAGGGUGCCCCCAGACUGUGGCCCUGGGGCCAGGCGGUAGGAGUUUGGGGUUCCGAUCUCACCUUUGCUUUGCAUGGGCUAUCAGAGUACAGACAAAUCACUCUUGCUCCGGGAACCUCGGAAUCCUCAUCUGCAAGAUUCGGUGCUGUUCUGCACUUCAGGGGCCUGGUCUGAGUGACAGCGAUACAGGCAUAGGAGAUCAUCUCAAAAUUGCCCUGCUGCCCAACUCCACACAUUCAGGGGCUGAGGGGUACAAAAGGUCUGGGAUUCCUGGCCCCAGAUUUGCUCAUGCUAAAAAUAAAUAUUUGUCUUCUUUUCUUAUCAUGAUCAGCAGAGUGGAGAGACCCUGGCAGACCCCUAAAGGCCCCCCGGGAGCCUGUGCUGUGGACAGAGCCCCCAUGGAUUCUGCUUACAGGGAGCAAUUUGAGAGACAAACAAAACAUGAGAAGCUACCCGGAAUUAACAAUGGGCCAGAUGGUAAUGCGAGUUUGAAGCAAUAAAACAUGAUAAAUAGCUUCCUGCUGCUGCUCCUGAUCAAUUUCAAUAUUUAAUAAUUUCACUGCCACCACCACCCCCUCAUCUGGCCCCCUCCACAAGAUCCUGUGAUGUCGCCCCGUAUUCCGCUCGCAGAGCAAACACCUCACUUUCUGAAGGUGUCAGCAAAAAGUGACGCCGCUCAGUUGUCACAUGAGCGCUCUUGGUCCCCGAAACAAUAAUUAACCUGCCUAAUUCUGCAGGCACUCCAUCGCACGCCUCUCCUCUUUGCCAGGGGAGGUUGUAAGAGUGCUGCCAACUGCAGAUGCGAAAGUUAUUGUCGAUCCAAUGACUCUUGGUAUCCCCUGACUUUUGCUGUUGAAUUAAGGAAAGAACAGCAGGGAACGCUGUGGUUUUCUUACUUAAGGACCAAUUAAUAGGAGGAAGCAACCCAGAACGGGAGGCCAGGUAGAUUGGUGUUUGAGUUUUGUCCAUCAGUUAUGCUCCCGAACCUCAGUUUCUUCCUCUGUACAAUGGACACGAUCA
ensembl:lincRNA